rnacentral:rRNA from 1 species
CGGUCCGGCCGGGAACUCAAAGGAGACUGCCAGUGAUAAACUGGAGGAAGGUGGGGAUGACGUCAAGUCAUCAUGGCCCUUACGACCAGGGCUACACACGUGCUACAAUGGCAUAUACAAAGAGAAGCGACCUCGCGAGAGCAAGCGGACCUCAUAAAGUAUGUCGUAGUCCGGAUUGGAGUCUGCAACUCGACUCCAUGAAGUCGGAAUCGCUAGUAAUCGUAGAUCAGAAUGCUACGGUGAAUACGUUCCCGGGCCUUGUACACACCGCCCGUCACACCAUGGGAGUGGGUUGCAAAAGAAGUAGGUAGCUUAACCUUCGGGAGGGCGCUUACCACUUUGUGAUUCAUGACUGGGGUGAAGUCGUAACAAGGUAACCGUAGGGGAACCUGCGGUUGGAUCACCUCCUU